rnacentral:rRNA from 1 species
GACCAUCCUCCAAGGCUAAAUACUCCUGACUGACCGAUAGUGAACCAGUACCGUGAGGGAAAGGCGAAAAGAACCCCGGCGAGGGGAGUGAAAAAGAACCUGAAACCGUGUACGUACAAGCAGUGGGAGCACCUUCGGGUGUGACUGCGUACCUUUUGUAUAAUGGGUCAGCGACUUAUAUUCUGUAGCAAGGUUAACCGUAUAGGGGAGCCGCAGGGAAACCGAGUCUUAACUGGGCGUUAAGUUGCAGGGUAUAGACCCGAAACCCGGUGAUCUAGCCAUGGGCAGGUUGAAGGUUGGGUAACACUAACUGGAGGACCGAACCGACUAAUGUUGAAAAAUUAGCGGAUGACUUGUGGCUGGGGGUGAAAGGCCAAUCAAACCGGGAGAUAGCUGGUUCUCCCCGAAAGCU